AUGGUGGGCUUCUUGUUGUAGCGCGCCAGCUUGGCCGACUCGCCGGCCAGCUUCUCGAAGAUGUCGUUGAUGAAGGAGUUCAUGAUGGACAUGGCCUUGGAGGAGAUGCCGAUGUCCGGGUGCACCUGCUUCAGCACCUUGAAGAUGUAG
rnacentral:rRNA from 1 species